GCCUACCACCGCACCACCCCGAACACACCCAACCUCGUCUGAUCUGGAAGCUAAGCAGGGUUGGGCCUGGUUAAUACUUGGAUGGGAGACAGUCGCUCGGGAGAAAGGGGCUCUGUAUUUU
rnacentral:rRNA from 1 species